AAUAAACAAAAUUAAACAAUAAAUAAAUAAUAAAUAAACAAAUAAAUAAAGAUGAAACAAAGGAAUAACUAAACAAUUAACUCAGUUUUUGAUUAUACACGUUUCAAAUGAAAGGAAUUAAGGAAACUAGGGAAGACCACUUUGAAUAAACAAAUAUACAAAUUUCAAUGGCUUUAAGAGUGUUUUUUUUGCUUUACACGUGUUGUUCAAAGCCAAAUCCCAUGGCCAUAUGUAUUUCUUUUUCUUUUCUUCCACUUUAGUCUUUGGAAAUCAUGGAACCUCCAGUUCAGAUCGCAACAGCGCCGCGGAAGUGUUGAUGGAGCAGCGGUGGUGCCGUGGUGGUGAGGGUCGUCGCAGCGUCGUCGUUGGAGUAGGGGCGGCGUUGGAGUUGCUGAUUGCGGGGAGAGAGAGAGCGAAUUUCUGGGAGAACCGCAAUCAAUGAGGGAGAAACUAGGAUUGAAACUAAAAUAAUAUUAUUUAAUUAUUUAUUUAAUAUUAAUGUGAAAUUACUAAAAUACCCCUAGUUUUU